rnacentral:rRNA from 1 species
AGUGAACGCUGGCGGUAGGCCUAACACACGCAAGUCGAACGGCAGCACAGGAGAGCUUGCUCUCUGGGUGGCGAGUGGCGGACGGGUGAGGAAUACAUCGGAAUCUACUUUUUCGUGAGGGAUAACGUAGGGAAACUUACGCUAAUACCGCAUACGACCUACGGGUGAAAGCAGGGGAUCUUCGGACCUUGCGCGAUUGAAUGAGCCGAUGUCGGAUUAGCUAGUUGGCGGGGUAAAGGCCCACCAAGGCGACGAUCCGUAGCUGGUCUGAGAGGAUGAUCAGCCACACUGGAACUGAGACACGGUCCAGACUCCUACGGGAGGCAGCAGUGGGGAAUAUUGGACAAUGGGCGCAAGCCUGAUCCAGCCAUACCGCGUGGGUGAAGAAGGCCUUCGGGUUGUAAAGCCCUUUUGUUGGGAAAGAAAUCCAGCUGGUUAAUACCCGGUUGGGAUGACGGUACCCAAAGAAUAAGCACCGGCUAACUUCGUGCCAGCCGCCGCAGUAA